rnacentral:rRNA from 1 species
CCUACGGGUGUCUGCAGUGGGGAAUAUUGGACAAUGGGCGAAAGCCUGAUCCAGCCAUGCCGCGUGUGUGAAGAAGGCCUUCGGGUUGUAAAGCACUUUCAGUGGGGAAGAAAGCCUUGGGGCUAAUACCCUCGAGGAAGGACAUCACCCACAGAAGAAGCACCGGCUAACUCCGUGCCAGCAGCCGCGGUAAUACGGAGGGUGCGAGCGUUAAUCGGAAUUACUGGGCGUAAAGCGCGCGUAGGCGGUCUGAUAAGCCGGUUGUGAAAGCCCCGGGCUCAACCUGGGAACGGCAUCCGGAACUGUCAGGAUAGAGUGCAGGAGAGGAAGGUAGAAUUCCCGGUGUAGCGGUGAAAUGCGUAGAGAUAGGGAGGAAUACCAGUGGCGAAGGCGGCCUUCUGGACUGAUACUGACGCUGAGGUGCGAAAGCGUGGGUAGCAAACAGGAUUAGAUACCCGAGUAGUC